UUAAGUCGACCGCCUGGGGAGUACGGCCGCAAGGUUAAAACUCAAAUGAAUUGACGGGGGCCCGCACAAGCGGUGGAGCAUGUGGUUUAAUUCGAUGCAACGCGAAGAACCUUACCUGGUCUUGACAUCCACGGAAGUUUUCAGAGAUGAGAAUGUGCCUUCGGGAACCGUGAGACAGGUGCUGCAUGGCUGUCGUCAGCUCGUGUUGUGAAAUGUUGGGUUAAGUCCCGCAACGAGCGCAACCCUUAUCCUUUGUUGCCAGCGGUCCGGCCGGGAACUCAAAGGAGACUGCCAGUGAUAAACUGGAGGAAGGUGGGGAUGACGUCAAGUCAUCAUGGCCCUUACGACCAGGGCUACACACGUGCUACAAUGGCGCAUACAAAGAGAAGCGACCUCGCGAGAGCAAGCGGACCUCAUAAAGUGCGUCGUAGUCCGGAUUGGAGUCUGCAACUCGACUCCAUGAAGUCGGAAUCGCUAGUAAUCGUGGAUCAGAAUGCCACGGUGAAUACGUUCCCGGGCCUUGUACACACCGCCCGUCACACCAUGGGAGUGGGUUGCAAAAGAAGUAGGUAGCUUAACCUUCGGGAGGGCGCUUACCACUUUGUG
rnacentral:rRNA from 1 species